rnacentral:rRNA from 1 species
AGUGAACGCUGGCGGUAGGCCUAACACAUGCAAGUCGAACGGCAGCACAGUAAGAGCUUGCUCUUACGGGUGGCGAGUGGCGGACGGGUGAGGAAUACAUCGGAAUCUACUUUUUCGUGGGGGAUAACGUAGGGAAACUUACGCUAAUACCGCAUACGACCUACGGGUGAAAGCAGUGGAUCUUCGGACCUUGCGCGAUUGAAUGAGCCGAUGUCGGAUUAGCUAGUUGGCGGGGUAAAGGCCCACCAAGGCGACGAUCCGUAGCUGGUCUGAGAGGAUGAUCAGCCACACUGGAACUGAGACACGGUCCAGACUCCUAAGGGAGGCAGCAGUGGGGAAUAUUGGACAAUGGGCGCAAGCCUGAUCCAGCCAUACCGCGUGGGUGAAGAAGGCCUUCGGGUUGUAAAGCCCUUUUGUUGGGAAAGAAAAGCAGCAGGUUAAUACCCCGCUGUUCUGACGGUACCCAAAGAAUAAGCACCGGCUAACUUCGUG